UACGUAGGGUGCAAGCGUUGUCCGGAAUUAUUGGGCGUAGAGAGCUCAUAGGCGGUUUGUCGCGUCUGCUGUGAAAUCCGAGGCUCAACCUCGGACCUGCAGUGGGUACGGGCAAGCUAGAGUGCGGUAGGGGAGAUGGGAAUUCCUGGUGUAGCGGUGGAAUGCGCAGAGUAUCAGGAGGAACACCAAUGGCGAAGGCACAUCUCCUGGCCGUAACUGACGCUGAGGAGCGAAAGCGUGGGAGCGAACAGG
rnacentral:rRNA from 1 species